CCUCUCGCCCGCAUCCUCUGCGCCACGGUCGAGCCAAAGUUGGAUAUUUUAGCGAGGUCGAGUAGGAGCGUGAGAAGCGCGGGCACGGUGGCCUUGUCCUGCUCGAGGAAGGCGGCGACGGAUGCUAGCGCUCCUCGCCGCCAUCGACCUGCAAGGAGGAGCGCCGUGUUGGACGCUGCCAUCUCCGACGCUGCUGGUACUCCUCCGCCGCUACGAGUGCCCCGUCACCUGCGCCCAGGUCAGCCGCGAAGUCGAGCUCCCCAUGAUUGACCUGCAAGAUGUACUGUGGUCAAGAACUGCUCUCUGCCGCGGGAGUAGAUUGGAAAUGCUGCUGCUGCUCCUGGACAAUGCGGCUGCUGCUGCCACUACCACUCGCCGAUUCGGGCAUGAGCACAUUCUUGGAGUGGAUCUGCAUUUCAGAAAGUUAACAGGUGGGAGUACAUGGAGUACCACAUUUUAAGUCGAGGAGAAGAUGGUGCCUGCUCCGUGAUGAUGCCACCAGCACCUACGACUUCCUCGACCACCACCACCAUGAUGACGACUUCCUCGAAUGUGAGAAAAGAGGGGAGAUGAACCUGAGGGAGGAAGCCGAUCGCAUGGUGGCGAACGCAGGAGGAACCAGACGACGGGAGCACGGUGGUUGAUGCCUAGGGUUUAGCGCAGGUGGUGGCGGCGUCUCCCCUUGGAGGUUGAUGGCGGCGGCGUCUCCUCUGGGAGGUCGGCAGCGUGCGAAGGCGAAGGCGUACCUCAGCAGAGGUGUCCCGAUGGCCACCCGGAGGUCCACAACGAUGGCGGCGGCACCUCCUUUAGGACCUCGACGGCGGCGCCUCCUUUAGGACCUCGGCGGCGGCGCCUCCUUUAGGACCUCGGCGGCGGCGCCUCCACGACCCCUCGGAGCCGGCAAAGGGAUCCGCGGCUAGCGCCUGGGAUCUGCCAGGCGGCGGCGUUCGCGUCGCGAAUAGAUCGAGGGGUGGCGGCGAAGGGACGAAGGGAGGCGGCGGGCGAACGAGGGCAGAGGUCGUGCGUGCGAGUAUUUCUCGUACGUGCGGGCGAGAUUGGUCUAGGAUUUUUUUUCGCUGGUUAAUUUUCGCCGGUUUGUUUUCACUGGUUUAUUUUCGUAGACCUUUUUCGUUCGUUUGUCUGGUGCGACGGGAGGUUAGGCCCUGGAGUGCGUGGGGCGGGUGGGGAACUCGACAGGAGGUUUUUUUGUUCUACGCGGCUCAGCGAUAGGUGGGAGCAGGUACCAAAAUAAACCAUGGUAAUUGGGACGAAAAUAAAUUCAGAACGGAGACUACCAACUGAGACAUUAGGAGUAGAGAUAAAAACCUUUAGAUAAUUAAAGUAGAGAAAAUACAACAAUUCAGGCUAGCAGCAGAACCAAGGAGAGAGAGGUUGCGUAUAGGAGUUUGGACAGUACUACAUGACUGACACAUAUGCAGGCGUUGGUGCCGGAUGGUCUGAAUACCAUAUUUUUUACGGCCACUAUGGCCGCCUCACAAUCGCUCUGACAUCCGCAGUAGCAGAUGAAUCCUGACAAGGCCGCUAUAUCACAACGCAGCGCAAAAAAGAUAGUGCCAGGUGUGCGCUACCGUAAUAGCAGGUGUAGCGGCUGCUAUUUAAAACCUUGCCCGAGUGCCACGCCUUCACAACGGAUGGCUAGAGCUGCCGGCCUCCGCAUCGUGCCGGCCGCGCUUGCGCGGCGGCGCAUCGCGGCGGCCCCACACCUGCGACCUUCUCCCAACAUGGUUUACGUUUGGAGGAGGCGCUUGGAGGAGGGAACGUAUGAGCUUACUGGAGAGGAAGAGAAUUAUGGCGGAGGGGAAGAGGAUUGCCCUCGAAAGCGGCAAAAUGAAUCCAAGACGGAAACCCUAAAACAUCAUCUUCAUAUAGGCCGCCCAUAUAAUUUUUAUGAGCAGGUGUAAAUUUGUCGGAUCCAUACUCGCCCGUAAGCCGGAAAGCUACCCGCCCGCAAAUAUACGGGCCAGCGGCGGGAUAGCGCAUCUGCUACUUUAUUUAACUCGGCUUUCUCUUCUCAAAAAAAAAAAAUAACUCGGCUUUCUUCCCUAAAAUAAAAUAAAUUAACUCGGCUUUCUUCGGGCCCUCUCCUCCUCUCCCCCCGCCUCAGAACCCUUCCUCCCACGACUCCACAGCCGCGCCCGCCGCGUUCGCGCCGGCCCUCUCCGCCGCACCGACCACAUCGUCGCCGCGUGCCUCUCAUCUGCACUUGACUACCUCUGCCAUGUCGCCACCAACCUUGAUAUCAUGUUUAUCGACUUCAAUCACAUACUUGCUCAACAUUUGCAUACAGGUAAUCAGUACUCCCAGUUAAGCACUCCCGAGUCAAUGCAAUUCAUAAUGAUCCAGUUACGGAAUGCGCUUCUUCAUCCUUGUUCUUGUGUCUAAUAAAUGUAUACCUGUCACUUGUGUUCUGUUUAAUCUAUCUAUCAAAUUGCUCUGACCCCGAGUGUUCACAACGCCACUGAUUCGCAGAGAAAUUUGAUACCAUAACAUACAGUUCCAGACUUCAACCCCCUUGUGUCGAACUGCUAUUGGUGGACUGUGCUGAAGGAAAUAAUCUAACCAUUGCAAAAAAUGCUGCUGGCAAUGGUACUGGAGGGUCCCAUAUGAUGCCAUCCAUUUAUGCGUAUAUUUGCUUGUCCUUUCUAAAGAGGGAGCCAAAGCUGCGAUGUCUGUAAACUGCAUGACAGUUAUUAUCCGGAAGGUCCCAGCAUCAUAUUCAACCAGAUGUUGUAGGAGUAUCAUUUUUCUUCUCGCAGCUUCCAUGAUGAAUCCAUGAUCAGUGUUGUGCCAUCUGCUCAGAUCACUGAUUUCCAAGGCUCUGAGAAAGAAACAUUUGUUCAAAUUGGAACCAAUAGACCAUUAUCAAGUCUACAACUGAAUGAAACAAGGUGCAGAUUUGGUCACUGGAUCUUAAAGCAGAUCUGCAACUUUUGGAGACAAAUCCAGGACCUGCUUCCAAAAAAUGAGCUACCAGGCUUACCCAUAGCCAUAAGUAGUCUCACGAGAGUGUUAAAUGAAAACGCUUUUGGUUCUGUUAUGCCUCUCUCGGCUGGUCAGACAAAGCAGUCCACCGAUGAUAAAGAAAUCCCAGCUGAAACUAAAGAAGGGUCUGUACAAGUUAAGAGAGGCAAAUCAUGCUCAUUUAUCUUCUGGUCUCAAGUUAGCAUGUUCUUCUCGUCCUCCCAUCCCCAGAGUAGGGAGAUUUCUUAAACUAGUCCUGGCUACUGAGGACAAGUAUCCUAUCAAGAUUACUGACAUCCUGGAUAAUGCUAAGGCUUAUAGUAAAUAUGAGAUUGGCUCCACCUCUUGUGAGAGGGCGGAUCAGGUGUCGCUGAAUCAUGAAAUUACUUCUGUUUCUGAUCCUUGCCUCGAGGAUAAGGGUGUAGACAAGCCUGAUACACUCCAGUUGGCGCAGAGCCUUGCCGAGGUACUACAGAAUCGUUGGGGUGCUCUGUAGAGAUGUGACACCCCAUUAAAUAUUUAAAUCUCACACCUGUUGUCUGUUGAGUAGUGAUUUAUAAGGAUGCUGCACUGAUGCAGCAACAAGUUAGUGAACACAAAACAGAACACGAUAUUGCACAGAUUAUGAGGGAUAAUGUUAGACCCAAACUCUAAGGUAACGAUGCUUCUUUUGACCAAAAAUGUUAUUCUUUAUCUUGCCGAGAUACUACAUAAUCUUUAGGGUGCUCUGUAGGUUACAGAGAUGAUGACACGCCAUUACCGAAAAAGGGUUUUCCCCCGCUUUGUAUUCCAAAGCAACCAACACCGAUACAGGAUCGCUGGGGCGAACAGCACAACAAGCCCAAAAGAAAAAGAAGAAGCAAAUGCCAACAACGGCAGCUCGACAGAGCGCGGAUGACCCGCCACCGCUACGCCCACCAAAGACAAACCACUACAACCCGAGGCUCCGGACCACCGCGUACAAAACAGCACCUCCAAGAAGGAAUGCGACGCCAACGACGCUGCUGCCCAGACAUGUCCUAGGG